rnacentral:rRNA from 1 species
AACGAACGCUGGCAGCAUGCCUAACACAUGCCAGUCGAACGAGACCUUCGGGUCUAGUGGCGCACGGGUGCGUAACGCGUGGGAACCUGCCCUUAGGUUCGGAAUAACUCCCCGAAAGGGGUGCUAAUACCGGAUAAUGUCUUCGGACCAAAGAUUUAUCGCCUUUGGAUGGGCCCGCGUUGGAUUAGCUAGUUGGUAGGGUAAAAGCCUACCAAGGCGACGAUCCAUAGCUGGUCUGAGGGGAUGAUCAGCCACACUGGGACUGAGACACGGCCCAGACUCCUACGGGAGGCAGCAGUGGGGAAUAUUGGACAAUGGGCGAAAGCCUGAUCCAGCAAUGCCGCGUGAGUGAUGAAGGCCUUAGGGUUGUAAAGCUCUUUUACCCGGGAUGAUAAUGACAGUACCGGGAGAAUAAGCUCCGGCUAACUCCGUG